rnacentral:rRNA from 1 species
CCUACGGGUGGCAGUAGUGGGGGAUAUUGCACAAUGGGGGAAACCCUGAUGCAGCGACGCCGCGUGUGGGAAGACGGUCCUCUGGAUUGUAAACCACUGUCCCCAGGGACGAAGAUGACGGUACCUGGGGAGGAAGCUCCGGCUAACUACGUGCCAGCAGCCCCGGUAAUACGUGGGGGGCGAGCGUUGUCCGGAAAUACUGGGUGAAAGGGGAGCGUAGGCGGGGAUGCAAGUUGGGGGUCAAAACUACCGGCUCAACUGGUAGUCGCACUCAAAACUGGAGCUCUUGAGUGAAGUAGAGGCAGGCGGAAUUCCUAGUGUAGCGGUGAAAUGCGUAGAGAUUAGGAGGAACACCAGUGGCGAAGGCGGCCUGCUGGGCUUUUACUGACGCUGAGGCUCGAAAGUGUGGGGAGCAAACAGGAUUAGAUACCCCGGUAGUC